AAAUAAAUUUCUCUUGUUUAGUCAUAUUAUCAGGUAUUUUGUAACAGCAACCUGAAUGAAGUAGGGUAUAUAGCUUUAAAACACCAUGCUGACGACAAUAACUCCUGAAUUUAUUUCAAAAUUCCAGGCCUUUCUCCCACACUCCAGAAGUACAUCUAUUAAUAUCUCCACUUGGAUGUCUAAUAGACAAGCUCAACUCCUGAUGUCCCAUCUCAGUUAAAGGCAACUCUGUCCCCAAGGUGGUCACAUCAAAAGCCAUGGAGUGAAUCCUGGACUCCUAUUCUUCUCACAGCCCACAUCCAAUUCUGGCUCUGUAGAAAUCCUGUUGGUGCUACCUUCAAAACAUAUCCAGUGUCCAACUACUUUUGGCCACCUUCACUACUUCCAUCCUUUCUGGUGUCACCAUAACCAUGUGUGUGUGUGUGUGUGUCUGUGUGUGUGUGUUUUGAGAUGAGCUCUUGCUCUGUCACCCAGGCUAUGCUCCAUCAUAGCUCACUGCAACCUUGAACUCCUGGUCUCAAGUGAUCCUCCUGCCUUGGCCUCCCAAAGCACUAGGAUCACAGGCAUGAACCACCAUGCCCAGCUCAAUUACUUGAUUUUGAUGCUCAUAUUCUAUUGUUUGUCUCCUGUCUCCCCACACUGGAAUGUGAGUUCCAUGAGGGCCAGAAUCUUCGUCUGUUUUGUUCACUGAUGUACCACAGAUGGAGAGAACAGAGCUUGGCAUACAGAGGACACUCAAUAAAUAUUUGUCAAAUGCAUUAAAUCAAUAAGUAGAAAAAUCAGGUGGUAAGAUUUUCCUGGUAAUGAUGAUGAUGAUGAUCAUGAUGAUGCUGAUGAUAGCUAUCUUUUAUUGAGCACCUACAAUGUGCCGUUGACAGGCUAUGCACUUUAUCUCAUUUCAUUUUCAAAACAAUCACCUAGCAUAGAUACCUUUAUUUACCCUAUUUUUCAGAUGGAAUCUGAGGCACAGAAAAUUUCUGUAAUGACGCUGGUCCAAGUGCAGUGGUGUUUACAACUAAUAGAUCACAACCAGUUACAUAACUCUUUGUUCCUUCUCCAUUCCCACUGCUUCACUAGACUA
rnacentral:lncRNA from 1 species